rnacentral:rRNA from 1 species
UACGUAGGGGGCAAGCGUUGUCCGGAAUAAUUGGGCGUAAAGAGCGUGUAGGCGGUCCGGUAAGUCCGCUGUGAAAGUCCAGGGCUCAACCCUGGAAUGCCGGUGGAAACUGUCGGGCUAGAGUCCGGAAGAGGCGAGUGGAAUUCCUGGUGUAGCGGUGAAAUGCGCAGAUAUCAGGAGGAACACCAAUGGCGAAGGCAGCUCGCUGGGACGGUACUGACGCUGAGACGCGAAAGCGUGGGGAGCAAACAGG